rnacentral:rRNA from 1 species
UACGUAGGGGGGCUAGCGUUGUCCGGAAUCAUUGGGCGUAAAGCGCGUGUAGGCGGUCCGGUAAGUCCGCUGUGAAAGUCGGGGGGCUCAACCCUCGGAUGCCGGUGGAUACUGUCGGGCUUGAGUACGGAAGAGGCGAGUGGAAUUCCUGGUGUAGCGGUGAAAUGCGCAGAUAUCAAGGAGGAACACCAAUUGCGAAGGCAGCUCGCUGGGACGUUACUGACGCUGAGACGCGAAAGCGUGGGGAGC